UGGGGAAUAUUGCACAAUGGGCGCAAGCCUGAUGCAGCCAUGCCGCGUGUAUGAAGAAGGCCUUCGGGUUGUAAAGUACUUUCAGCGGGGAGGAAGGCGAUAAGGUUAAUAACCUUGUCGAUUGACGUUACCCGCAGAAGAAAGCACCGGCUAACUCCGUGCCAGCAGCCGCGGUAAUACGGAGGGUGCAAGCGUUAAUCGGAAUUACUGGGCGUAAAGCGCACGCAGGCGGUCUGUCAAGUCGGAUGUGAAAUCCCCGGGGCUCAACCUGGGAACUGCAUUCGAAACUGGCAGGCUGGAGUCUUGUAGAGGGGGGUAAGAAUUCCAGGUGUAGCGGUGAAAUGCGUAGAGAUCUGGAGGAAUACCCGGUGGCGAAGGCGGCCCCCUGGACAAAGACUGACGCUCAGGUGCGAAAGCGUGGGGAGCAAACA
rnacentral:rRNA from 1 species